UCACGAAUGACAGUGCAGUGCUCCCUCGGCAGAGUGGAUAACGGACGGUCAGGUAGACCGACCAGUGCCAGUAGCAACCGCUCAUUUUCAUCUGCCGAGGGAGAGCUGCCCUGCCACUCGACG
rnacentral:pre_miRNA from 1 species